rnacentral:lncRNA from 1 species
UCUAAUUAACUAAUCAAUUAAACAAAUAAUCAAAUAAUUAAUCAAGAAAAAUUAUAUUAAAUAAUAAAAGAAAUAAAACAACAAUUAACAUGUUUAAUAAAGAGGGAUGUGAACAAACAUAAGGACCUAAGGCCUAAACCACCAUUCAUAGCCUCAUUUAAACCCAACUAUUCAAAAUAAAAGAUAUAAUACUAAAUAAAAAUAAAAAC